rnacentral:lncRNA from 1 species
AGUCCCGGAAGGCUGCCGACUUCCGGGAGAGGUGGGAGAAGGCCCAGCAGUCGGCCGACAACGCCCGCAACCGAACCCGAUCUCUUGAAGCCAAGCUGGCCGAACUGGAGUCGGCCUUGGAGGGGACUCGUGCGAGCAACCAGGAGCUUCAUUCGCGCCUGGAGGAGGCUGAGGCUGCUCGCGUCGCUGCCGAGGCGAAGCACAUGGAGGCUCGGGCCG